UACGUAGGGUGCAAGCGUUGUCCGGAAUUAUUGGGCGUAAAGAGCUCGUAGGCGGUUUGUUGCGUCGGCUGUGAAAUCCCGAGGCUCAACCUCGGGUCUGCAGUCAAUACGAGCAAACUAGAGUGUUGCAGGGGAGACUGGAAUUCCUGGUGUAGCGGUGAAAUGCGCAGAUAUCAGGAGGAACACCGGUGGCGAAGGCGGGUCUCUGGGGCAACAACUGACGCUGAGGAGCGAAAGCGUGGGGAGCGAACAGG
rnacentral:rRNA from 1 species